UUGUGUCCGGUGCGUUCUUGACAACCCUUGAAAAUCCAAGGGAAUGGAUAACUUUCACGUCUGGUCGUACUCAUAACCGCAGCAGGUCUCCAAGGUGAACAGCCUCUAGUUGAUAGAACAAUGUAGAUAAGGGAAGUCGGCAAGAUAGAUCCGUAACUUCGGGAAAAGGAUUGGCUCUAAGGGUUGGGUGUGUCGGGCCUUGGUCGGAAGCCUCGAGACCCAGCUGGGACUGCUUGG
rnacentral:ncRNA from 1 species